rnacentral:rRNA from 1 species
CCUACGAGAGGCAGCAGUGAGGAAUAUUGGUCAAUGGGCGGGAGCCUGAACCAGCCAAGCCGCGUGAGGGAAGAAGGUACAGCGUAUCGUAAACCUCUUUUGUCAGGGAACAAAGGCGGGGACGAGUCCCCGGAUGAGGGUACCUGAAGAAAAAGCAUCGGCUAACUCCGUGCCAGCAGCCGCGGUAAUACGGAGGGUGCGAGCGUUAAGCGGAAUUACUGGGCGUAAAGCGCUCGUAGGCGGUAUGUCAAGUCAAGGGGGAAAUCCCCGCGCUCCACGUUGGAACUGCCUUUGAAACGGGCAAACUGGAGUGUGUGCGAGUCUAGUGGACUUCCAGGUGUCGGCGUGCAAUCCGUAGAUAUCUGGCGGAACCUCAGUGGCGAAUGCGACUCUCUGGCCCAUAACUGACGCUGAGGCGCG